GAAUAUGAAAGGGACACACGAGAAUCUUUCCCAACUUCUUUAUAAAUAAUCAUGAUUACAACUUCUUCAUAAGUGAGAGACUACAAGUCUCGACGAGCAAACAACAUUUUCAAAAAAAGAAAUCUGAAGUUUAUAUAUAUAGUUGCAAAGUUUUCAUAUAUCAUCAUCAUGGGUAUGAAGAUAUCGACGGCCAUGUUAUUGCCGCAGUCACCGGCAGCAUCAGACUUCCCUCUGGCGACCUCUGUUGUAAACCCCCACACAGUUCACUUUAAUAGGCAAGCAAACGACUCUCCGUCGAUCUAGCCACGCGUUUUCCGGGGGAUUCUGGUCAGUUCACUGGAACAGGCAAGCAAACGAGAUACGACUCUCCGUCGAUUUAGCCACUGGAACAGGCAAGCAAACCAGAUCACAGUGGCUGACCUAAUAGGAUGAGAGAAGGCGCGCUGUCAAUAGCUGUCACUCAGCUGCAAACUUCAUUGUCCACUGCAACAAGCUGGUAGAGCAAUUGCAGAAUGCUCUUGACAAGCUACCUAUAACAGAUACACAGAAGAAACCAUUGAUUAUAGCCUCAAGUUCAACAGCAGUAAAAGCUUAGCACAUGAAAGUAAGAUGAUACUUAAGCAGUAAGUACAACGCCAAGAGCUGGACCAUUAAGAUAUACGUGAUUUCAGACAAUUUAGCAGAAAGCACAACUACAUCCAAAGAAGAAUGCCAAGAAGUGACAGCAGAAAAGCUGUACAUGAUCUCCUAAAAGAGGUUAAAGAGAAAAACAAGCGCAGAGACAACAAAGCUCUUUCAAAUUGUACACUGGUCUGUAACCACACAAGUCAUGACAGUUUGAGAAAAUCUGUGGGGCUGGAAAUAAAAGUAAGAUCUUUUUUUUUUCAUUUGACCUCUAGUCUAUCUUACUCUACACCACUUAACCAAUGGGAUGACGUUUGCAAAUUAACUAGGUUAUCAAAAAGACUGGGAAGAAAAACUCCUUACAGAGCAGAGCAAUCUGCAAGGAAUAUACAGAUUUCGGGACAAUGGGACGAAGAAAGAAAUUACAUGCUCGGGACGAAGAAACACACAAAAUAGAAAGAUAAGUACAUAUCCUGAUGCUGAAUAUAUUAAGAUCUUAAAUGAUAAAUUGCCAUGAUGGGUUGUAAUGUAUUAAUUUGGGGCUUGGAGUGUUCACUUUUUUCCUAAACCUAUCACCAAAGUUUCACUACAAUAUGUACGCAUACAAGAAUUGUCUCAAAUCCCAACAGAGAAAAAUAAGGAAAAGAAGUUCUCACAGCUUGGCUUGGACAAUUGUUCAUCGAGAUUUGAACCAAAAAAAAGCUGGUCAAAGGAAAAAUACAAUUAAAUUUGCAUCAACUAAAUUAAAUUCUGUAACGAGAUUAUACCAAAGCGACUACAACUAAAAUCUAAUGGCAAGGCACAAAGCUGAAAGAAUUGGAGAAAACAUCAUCAGAGUUAGAAAACUAAGCCAGACCAACUUACUAACCAUGUCACCAUAAAAUUUGAGUAGAGUCCCAAAGAGAUGUAAAUUCCCUGAGGAACAAACGAGACUGCACAACAAGUGACUUUUAUCAAUGCAUUGAUGGUCCUUCAAAUACAAAAUGACUUAGCAAUGUUCAGCUAUUUGGUCAUCGAGUUUUUAUACUAAAGGAAAAAGGUUUCACGAUAUGAGAACUUAAUUCCCAGAAUUUGAUCCCUUAAUAUUGGAACUCCCAAAACGAACAGCACAUCCAAGUCAAAACCCAUUUAGCUUCAAAUUAAAGUAUUGAGACUAAAUUAGUAAAGUUAGACCAAGCCAAAAUGGAUAAUUCUAUUAAAUACAUACAAAUCUAAUCAAUCAUCCAGUGACAAAACAUAAUAAUAAUAUAGAUGAAAAGCAAGAGAAAAAGACAAUUAGCAAAAGUAUCUUCUUUCCAAGAAUGUAAACUUCCACGAAACAAUAAAACAGUCACUAUCCCUUGUUCUCUAAGCUUGACCCAAAACAUUUCAAGUCAUUUCAUAAUAUAUAACAAUAAAACUGAAGAAUCCAAAACCAAAGAACGUCAUAAAUAGCACAGAACAAGCUUUAGCC